UUUAUGGCUGAUGCAGCAUCAUCAAGAUUCUCACUUCACAAAGCCAAUGGAUUGGAAGAGCUAGCUAGCACUUAGAUUGCUUAAUAGUCCCACCCACCAGCAUUGCAUGUGAAUCUUGAUGAUGCUACAUCUGCAAACAA